rnacentral:tRNA from 1 species
UUUGAUUAUUUAAUUUUGAUUUCGAAUCAAAAAAAACAAAAAUCAAAA